rnacentral:lncRNA from 1 species
CUACAAUGCGCCACCUUCAGUCGAACGUCGGGCCUGGCCAGCUGCUUCAUGAAAGAUUGGGGAUAAGACCAGAAGAGGGUGGGAUAAUUGUGGCCAUAAAAGAAGUAAUAGUCGUAGAGAGUAGUCUUACUAUUCAGUAUUGUAACUAUUAGGACCAUCGUCCGAUGAACGUUUAUUUUAAAGCCCUGCACAUGCUCUAGGAUAUUGGAUAUCAGGUACACUUCAAAUAUUCCUGGCAGUGGAAUGGAGUGUGGAAGAAGCGGAGCAGGUUAUGCGGGUUUCAGACCUGGAGGCAGGCAGCCAUCACCCAAUACAUUUUGCAUCUUGGCGUCUCGUCCUUUGCGAUGGCUGCUCCAAUGGCGCCCGGUGCUUGCAUGGAGCAGGGAAGCACAGUCCACCUGAAGAAAUUACCUGGAGAACAAUUGGACCGGCGAAAGAAACCGGAAGCGUUGGAUCUACAAAGGCCCUGGUUGGAUCAAACCCCACACAAGGACUUUGUCAAAACGUCACCAUCAAGGACAAGUCAUCUCAGCCCACGAGCAGUGCAUAAAGAUCUGUGGCAUGCCUCACGACCCUACAGCAACGAGAUUGAUACAUACGAGUCCAAUUCAUUCACUGAAGAUGUUAAUUCUGACUCUAUUGUAAAGAAAGCACCUGGUCUGAAAAUGAAAACGAACAUUGAUGCUAUUAAGGAAGAGCUGGCCAAAGCUGAGGCCCUGUUGGGAAGUCUGGAAAGAAGUGUGAGCUCGGCGAGCUUCACCAGCCCUCCAGCCAGCCCAUGUACCAGUUUCAUUCACACUGCUGGAAGACGCUGGAGCAACACCUCGAGUCCGACUACGAGCUCUGUUGGGAGUCCCUAUAAGUCAACAACAAGCCCAAGCAACAGCCCUACCAUGAGUCCUUUGGAUAAGGUCAUGACAUUUCCUCACAAGUCAGAUCUCUGUGAGAAAGCUUCCACCUUUUCUGGAAGUUCUUCAAGCAUUGGGACCCAGUUAUCAAACUCUUCUGCCUUGCUCAUCCCCAGUACAACUUCCCAUCAGGUUCAAAGUAAUAUAUCUUCACUCCUGCAGCGUAAUGCUGGAAGUGUUUGGGUUCAAAGCCUUCCGUCUCCCACUGGUCGACUGACUUUUCUUACUAACACCAUUGGCAGCACCAGGGAGGCAAAGUUUGCACAGUCUGGUCAGCUGUUUCGCCCACAGGCUUCACCAAUGAUUAGGACAAUACCCACCACCCAAAUCCAUGAGAAAGAGCAACAACCCCUCUCUACCCAUCUGUACUCAUCUUUGCAGCAGCAAUAA